CCUACGGGAGGCAGCAGUAGGGAAUAUUGCUCAAUGGGGGAAACCCUGAAGCAGCAACGCCGCGUGGAGGAUGAAGGUUUUCGGAUUGUAAACUCCUUUUGUUAGAGAAGAUAAUGACGGUAGCUAACGAAUAAGCACCGGCUAACGCCGGGCCAGCAGCCGCGGUAAUACGGAGGGGGCAAGCGUUACUCGGAAUCACUGGGCGUAAAGAGAGCGUAGGCGGGAUAGCAAGUCAGAUGUGAAAUCCUAUGGCUUAACCCUAGAACUGCAUUUGAAACUGUUAUUCUAGAGUAUGGGAGAGGUAGGUGGAAUUCUUUGUGUAGGGGUCAACUCCGUAGAGAUCACGCGGACUACUCAUUG
rnacentral:rRNA from 1 species